rnacentral:rRNA from 1 species
UUAAUUGAAGAGUUUGAUCAUGGCUCAGAUUGAACGCUGGCGGCAGGCCUAACACAUGCAAGUCGAGCGGUAACAGGGGAAGCUUGCUUCCCGCUGACGAGCGGCGGACGGGUGAGUAAUGUAUGGGGAUCUGCCCGAUAGAGGGGGAUAACUACUGGAAACGGUGGCUAAUACCGCAUAAUCUCUUAGGAGCAAAGCAGGGGACCUUCGGGCCUUGCGCUGUCGGAUGAACCCAUAUGGGAUUAGCUAGUAGGUAAGGUAAUGGCUUACCUAGGCGACGAUCCCUAGCUGGUCUGAGAGGAUGAUCAGCCACACUGGGACUGAGACACGGCCCAGACUCCUACGGGAGGCAGCAGUGGGGAAUAUUGCACAAUGGGCGCAAGCCUGAUGCAGCCAUGCCGCGUGUAUGAAGAAGGCCCUAGGGUUGUAAAGUACUUUCAGUCGGGAGGAAGGCGUUGAUGUUA